AGAAGGAGGAGACUGCCGGACAGACUGAGCUCCACUCCAACUGAGAUAAAGCUGAAAACAAAAAAGGAGUAAGAAGGGACUGGAGCCAGGGGGACAUGGAAGACUCCAGAAGGGGGUAGGUGGAGGAUUGCUGAAAACAGUUCGGCAAGUGGAUCGUACACAGGAUGCUCCUUAUGGGACCACAUACAUGUUGUGCUUGGGCAGCACUGUGUUUUCUUGAGCAAAGACUCAGCAUAGGGCUGGGGUCACCUUUAUAGAGAGAGCCUAGUGUGGGGGUUGGGGAGAAGCCAGUUUGGUCAAGUCUCUUAACACAGUAUGUGGGUGAGUCCUUUGUGCCAGAUGGAGUUCAAGGUUCACAGGAGCCCACUCACUGGCAGGGGGAGCCUGGCCUGGGCUGUGGGGUGUGUGGCAUCCCCAUCGGAAGGGCCACAGGAAACACCACUGAUGGCGGUGCCCAGCUCCCCUGCACCUGCCCACCAGCCUCGGCUCUCUUGCACCUGGGGAAUCACGUCCUCCUGCUCAAAGACCACAGCUCCAUCCCAGGACCUGCAGACUUCUCCUUACCCAGAGGCCACAAUCCUCCAACCAGCUGAUCAUGCGACUUCUGUCUCCUGACUGCCCCCAGCAAGGUACAAGGUCUGAGCUGAAGAAUGAAAGUUCACGGCCAAGCAAGCUUGACCAGUGGUUCUGCAUCCUAUGGACCGCCCCCCCACUUAGGCUCCUCCUCCCAGACCUGGUCAGGUGACCACAGCAGCGUGUGACAGAAGGCAAGUUCUCCCCAGCUGGGAACUCUGUGUAAGAAGAGCACAGGCAAAGUGUUGGUGAUUUGGGACGAUACGUUACAACACGGCUGAGAAAUUGUCCAGAAACCUCAGGUCAGGGCAGAUUUAUGUCCCCCACCAUCGGCAUAAACCCAUAUAAUUUGACGCACUGGAAAAUUCAAUACAGUGAAGCCGACAAGCAGGAUUGUGUCGAUAAGUCUUCAAUAAAAGUC